AUUUCUUACUUAUCCCUGCCAAAUACUAUAAGGUGUCAAAAUUUGACAUAGGGGUUGCGAAAGUAUAAACACAGCCAAAACAGAAUGACUUUGCUUGUGUAAUCUUUAAUAAAUAAGACAUUGAUACUGGUUUAAUAAAAAUAGCUCUAUCUUGAAUUUAGUAACAUUACCAUAACUUCUAAUCUUGUGGCUUUAGGUGGUCUAGUCCACAGGCAGUAAGGAAGUUGGUUUUGGGAAAGAACUGUUAUCAUCUUUGUUUCAAAGCUAAACUAUAAAGUGAGUUCCUCACAAAGUUUGUUUGGCCUACGCCCAGGAAUGAACAAGGACAGUCUGGAGGUUAGAAUCAAGAUGGAGUCAGCUAGGUCAGAUCUUUGUUAUUGUCUCAGUUAUGGUGGUUUCAUAAUUUUAAACGAUGCCUAUCACAGUUUCAUAAACAAUGUAGGUAAAUGAUUAACAUAAGAUAAUUAGGUAAAUGUAAUGGGAUGACUACUUGUAGAUAAAAUUGUCAUAAUUUAAAAUCUAAAUUACUAUUACAUUAAAUAAUAGAUAUUUUAUUAUUUGGGUAUUUUUCAACAAAAUAUAUUGUAGGAAAACAUUCUUUCUAAAAACAGGUGUGUGCUUUUUAAAAAGGUAUACACUCUUUUGUCUAAUUUAAAGCUUAUGUAAAGGUUUUAUAUAAAACAAGGUAAAAGGAACCAGGAAAUAAGAGAGAUGUAAAGAAAGUUAAAGAAAUAAAGAGGUUUUUCUCUCCAUCGUGCCGAACGUCCAGCCUCUGGAGAUUGGGCGCUGAGUGCCGGAGGUAAACACCGAGGCAGAAGAGUUUUGCCACUCACUACCUGUGUGACUUUCGGUAAAUUAGUCUUGGAACAUCCAUUUCCUCAUCUCUAUAAUUGAAAUGAUAAUAGUACCUCUCUCAGGGUUGUUGUGAGCCGUCAAUGAAAAUACACUUAGAGCAGUUUCUGGCACUUGGUAGAAUUGGGCUAUUUGCUAAAGCUUCUUGGUAGCCCUUGGUAGCCCAGGAAGAAACUUACAUUUUGAUUUUUUUGUACCAUGGCUUUGGUUCACAAAUUGCUGCAUGGCACUUAUAUUCUCAGAAAAUGCUCUAAGACAACUGCUGCCUUGCAUUCAUUUUUGGGUAUUCGCUUUGCACACCAUUCCAGUAGUCUUCAGAAACCAGUGGCUUCUCCUGACAAAGCCUCCUCACAGAGGAAGACUGAAGGAGGUUGGCAAGGACAUCACCAGAAAGAAGUUGCUUUGGAUAUAACUUCUCCUGAGGAGAAACCUGAAGUUAGUUUUAAUAAAGCAAUUAGAGAUGAAAUAAAGGACCAUUUUAGGUGUUUGAAGGAUGAAAUUAUGGAUCAUUGGAUAGGACCCAAAGGCCGCCCUCUGCAUGAGGUCUUGCUGGAACAAGCCAAGGUUGUCUGACAGUUCUAGGGGAGAGAAGACUUGGAUAAGUAGAUAGUGACUUCUGAAAAGACAAUUGGAGGCAGAAGUGAAGUAUUUUUGAAAAUGGGCAAGAAUAACCAAAGUGCACUGCUAUAUGGAACUCUGAGCUCUGAGGUGCCUCAGGAUGGGGAGACUACCUGAAGUGAGUACUGUGCAAUGAUAUCCAGGAUUCCAGGGGGUGCUUUUGAGAGGAAGAUGUCUUAUGUUUGGUCCCAGUUCAGUACUCUGUAUCUCCGUGUACGUGGGGAUGGUUGGCCUUGGAUGAUGAAUAUCAGGGAGGACACAGAUAUAAUCCAGAGGAAAAUCAGAUGUAUAGCUACUUCAUGUUCACCCGUGGGGAGCCCUACUGGCAGAAGGUCAACAUCCCUUUUUCCAAUUUUUUUUUCCCUAAUCAAGGAAGAGUGCAGGAUGUUCAGAGUCAGCUUCUGCUUGACAAGACCUCUUCUAUAGCAUUCACCUUGGCUGAUAAAGUGGAUGGUCCAUUCUUCCUGGAGACAGAUUUUAUUGGAGUGCUUACUGAUCCAGCCCACACAGAAGAAUUUGCCUAUGAAAGUUCUCCAGAGCUUAACCCAAGACUUUUAAAAUAAAGAUCAUGUGGUAGUUUUCUUUUACUAAACUAAGGGUACUAGUAUCUACAAUGAUAUAAACAAAAUAAAAUAUUUCUUUAAUGGCAUCCAAAAAAAAAAAAAGAAAGAGGUUUUUUUUU